UACGUAGGUGGCAAGCGUUGUCCGGAAUUAUUGGGCGUAAAGCGCGCGCAGGCGGUCCUUUAAGUCUGAUGUGAAAGCCCACGGCUCAACCGUGGAGGGUCAUUGGAAACUGGAGGACUUGAGUACAGAAGAGGAAAGCGGAAUUCCACGUGUAGCGGUGAAAUGCGUAGAGAUGUGGAGGAACACCAGUGGCGAAGGCGGCUGUCUGGUCUGUAACUGACGCUGAGGCGCGAAAGCGUGGGGAGCAAACAGG
rnacentral:rRNA from 1 species